CAUUAGUUUGCUGCAGCCGCCUUAAACAAGGACAAUGGGGCACUUCAUGACUAAGUGUGAGGCCAGAAGCUCUGUGCCUGCCAGCCACACAGAAAUGCAUUACCACCAUUGCAUCACCAUGUCCAGUCUGUUUAUUCCCCACUCUUCAAAGCCCAGGUAAGAUAUGGCCAGCCAGCCUGGACAUGAACAUGGAACAU
rnacentral:lncRNA from 1 species